rnacentral:rRNA from 1 species
AGAGUUUGAUCCUGGCUCAGAACGAACGCUGGCGGCAGGCUUAACACAUGCAAGUCGAGCGGAUGGCCUCGGCCAUUAGCGGCGCACGGGUGAGUAACGCGUGGGAACCCGCCCCUGGAUACGGAACAACUCCGGGAAACUGGAGCUAAUACCGUAUACGCCCAACGGCUAUAGUGGCAGUUGGGGAAAGAUUUAUCGUCCAGGGAGGGGCCCGCGUCCGAUUAGCUAGUUGGUGGGGUAACGGCUUACCAAGGCGACGAUCGGUAGCUGGUCUGAGAGGAUGAUCAGCCACACCGGGACUGAGACACGGCCCAGACUCCUACGGGAGGCAGCAGUGGGGAAUAUUGGACAAUGGGGGCAACCCUGAUCCAGCCAUGCCGCGUGGGUGAUGAAGGCCUUCGGGUUGUAAAGCCCUUUCGGCGGGGACGAUGAUGACGGUACCCGCAGAAGAAGCCCCGGCUAACUUCGUGCCAGCAGCGGCGGUAAUUC